rnacentral:misc_RNA from 1 species
GAAAUGCGAUAACUAAUGUGAAUUGCAGAAUUCAGUGAAUCAUCGAGUCUUUGAACGCACAUUGCGCCCCCUGGUAUUCCGGGGGGCAUGCCUGUCCGAGCGUCAUUGCUGCCCUCAAGCCCGGCUUGUGUGUUGGGCCCUCGUCCCCCGGCUCCCGGGGGACGGGCCCGAAAGGCAGCGGCGGCACCGCGUCCGGUCCUCGAGCGUAUGGGGCUUCGUCUUCCGCCCCGUAGGCCCGGCCGGCGCCCGCCGACGCAUUUAUUUGCAACUUGUUUUUUUCCAGGUUGACCUCGGAUCAGGUAGGGAUACCCGCUGAACUUAAGC